AUUGAACGCUGGCGGCAUGCCUUACACAUGCAAGUCGAACGGCAGCACGGGUGCUUGCACCUGGUGGCGAGUGGCGAACGGGUGAGUAAUACAUCGGAACAUGUCCUGUAGUGGGGAAUAGCCCGGCGAAAGCCGGAUUAAUACCGCAUACGAUCUACGGAUGAAAGCGGGGGACCUUCGGGCCUCGCGCUAUAGGGUUGGCCGAUGGCUGAUUAGCUAGUUGGUGGGGUAAAGGCCUACCAAGGCGACGAUCAGUAGCUGGUCUGAGAGGACGACCAGCCACACUGGGACUGAGACACGGCCCAGACUCCUACGGGAGGCAGCAGUGGGGAAUUUUGGACAAUGGGCGAAAGCCUGAUCCAGCAAUGCCACGUGUGUGAAGAAGGCCUUCGGGUUGUAAAGCACUUUUGUCCGGAAAGAAAUCCUUGGCCCUAAUACGGUCGGGGGAUGACGGUACCGGAAGAAUAAGCACCGGCUAACUACGUG
rnacentral:rRNA from 1 species